GUUUCGGUAGAGCUCCGCAGCAACUGUGCCUAAAGCAUUCAAAAGCGACCUCAAAAAUCGAUAAACUACCCCUCACGGGAACCUCCGACAUGGAGAAGAGACCCCCUAAGAAGCAGGGGAAAAAAACGGCCGAAAUUGGGACCUCCAGCUCCGUCCUAGACCACUUCCCCAUGCACAAACAAGGCCGUGCAGGAAGUCAAGAUGGCGACGGGAGCUCCCCACAAAUAUCACCGAGGGCGGCCAGGGAAGC